rnacentral:rRNA from 1 species
UAGGGAAUCUUCGGCAAUGGACGAAAGUCUGACCGAGCAACGCCGCGUGAGUGAAGAAGGUUUUCGGAUCGUAAAACUCUGUUGGUAGAGAAGAACGUUGGUGAGAGUGGAAAGCUCAUCAAGUGACGGUAACUACCCAGAAAGGGACGGCUAACUACGUGCCAGCAACCGCGGUAAUACGUAGGUCCCCGAGCGUUGUCCGGAUUUAUUGGGCGUAAAGCGAGCGCAGGUGGUUUAUUAAGUCUGGUGUAAAAGGCAGUGGCUCAACCAUUGUAUGCAUUGGAAACUGGUAGACUUGAGUGCAGGAGAGGAGAGUGGAAUUCCAUGUGUAGCGGUGAAAUGCGUAGAUAUAUGGAGGAACACCGGUGGCGAAAGCGGCUCUCUGGCCUGUAACUGACACUGAGGCUCGAAAGCGUGGGGAGCAAACAGGAUUAGAUACCCUGGUAGUCCACGCCGUAAACGAUGAGUGCUAGAUGUAGGGAGCUAUAAGUUCUCUGUAUCGCAGCUAACGCAAUAAGCACUCCGCCUGGGGAGUACGACCGC